GACUGGUUGCACUUCCGGUGAUGUGAAGUCAGCAACAGUGGUGGCGAUCUGAUCGGCGAUGAGCGCUGGUUGCGAAAGAGUAGCGGAUUGGAACAUCGAUUGAUAUCAUGUGAGAGUUGAGGGAAUAAUUGAUUGUAUUACAUAUGUUGUACAGAGGUACAUAUAGGCACUAGGAUGGCAUGCAACCAAUCACACAAGUAAGAUUACAACCACAAUUAAGGGGUUACUACUAUAAAUACAAUAUGUGCUAACAAUUUUUGUAAAUGAAACGGUGGGAGAGCUGCAUGUUAUAUUAAAAAGAGAGGUGCACAGAAGGCACAAGUGUA
rnacentral:lncRNA from 7 species